rnacentral:rRNA from 1 species
UACGGGGGGAACAAGUGUUAUUCGUAAUGAUUGGGCGUAAAGGGCGUGUAGACGGAUUUUUAAGUUUAUAAUAUGUUUGAUUAAUUGAACAAUUAGGUAUACUAAAGUCUAGAAUUGUGUAGAGGCUUGUGGAAUUUUGAAAGUAGAGGUGAAAUUCGGUACUUACAAGAGACCAUCAACAGGCGGAGGCGACAAGUCAUAUAUAAUUGACGGUGAGGCGCAAAAGCGUGGGGAGCAAACAGG